CCCUAUUGAAGACUAAUGAUAAUUUGUUGUAUAUUAUCUUAGUCAUAAUAUUCUUUACUGGGCUAGUUGAGCUCACCCUUUUCAUUUUUGUUCCAUUUUUCUUCUCAGGAGGCGAGAAUAUAGCGAGUACGAGUCGGGGUAUGGAAUGAAGGUUCUAGAGAGAGUUGUUUAGUAGUCCUCACCGUUUUUGUAAAAUAAUGUAUCAAUAAAUAUGAUGAGGAUUUAUUUGAGUGUAGAUAUUGUCUAGAAGAUAAUAUUUGUAUUCAAACUCACAGUUUUACUGUUGUAAUAAUAAAGUUGUAGUUAUUUCUGUA
rnacentral:lncRNA from 1 species